rnacentral:lncRNA from 1 species
UCCAUUUUUGUAGGAAGAAAGGAGUCACGGGGCCACUCAGAGGGAGAUUGGGCAAGCCCUAGAAUAUAAAAAUGACCUAUCUAAGCCAAAGUGACCAGAGGAGAAAGGCAAUUCCCGUCCAGCAGACUGGUCUUCUUAUCGUCACACCUGCAUUAUUAUAUUUUAUUCUGAGGGUAAGUAGGAAAUCAUUAUAUUCUAUCUUGUGCUGUGAUAUUUGCUUCCAUGUAUUCAUCUUUAAUGGAGAGAACCCGGCGGAGGAUGGAAACCUUGUCUCCUCUUGUGCCCUUUUAUAGCAACAUAAUUUUCAGAAAUCAGCAAUACCCCCAUUCGUUCUACCUGCACCUCUCUUGGCAGCACAGCUUUCCCUGCUUGUGGAUGUAUGUGCAAUGGGGGAUUUGAGACCAUACAGUCAGGUGUGCCAUUUUUAGUUGAAACUUGUUGUGGAGAUAAGGUAAUGGAGAUACAGUAGUACCUCGGGUAACAUACGCUUCAGGUUACACAUGCUUCAGGUUACAGACUCUGCUAACCCAGAAAUAGUACCUCGGGUUAAGAACUUUGCUUCAGGAUGAGAACAGAAAUCGUGCUCCGACGGUGCAGCAGGAGGCCCCAUUAGCUAAAGUGGUAGCUCAGUUAAGAACAGUUUCAGGUUAAGAACGGACCUCCAGAACGAAUUAAGUACUUAACCCAAGGUACCACUGUAUAUACCACAUGUGGUGGACAUGCAGGAAAAUCAGAGAGUUUUGGAAUCUUAUUUAUGAUGAGCUGGAAAAGAUCUUUAAGUUAACAUUCUUAAAAAAGCCAGAGGCCUUCCUACCGGGUAUUUUAGGUAAAGCCAUUCCAAAAAAUUUAAGAGAAAUCUUCCUAUAUGCCACAGCUGCAGCCCGAACACUGGUUGCAAUGAACUGGAAGGGGCAGGGGGAGUUCCAACUUUAUCAGAUUGGCAAGGCAAAUUACAGGAAUAUGCAAAAAUGGCGCAAUUGACCAACAGACUGAGAGGCAAUACAAGACAAUCAUUUAUUAAAAAAUGGGAUAUGUAUCAGAGUUAUUUACAGAAAUAAAAUAGUGGUAUAAUAUCUUUGGCAGCAUUUGAACGACCCUUGUUUAAAGUAAUUAUUAAGAAAUAAGUUAAUGAGUACAAACUGUUGUAAGAAGGUAUUAAAAAAUACAGAAAGAGUAAGGUAAUAACGUUAAGUACAUUCAAUACUAAAAAGAAAGUUUACAUUGGGAAAUGAUAGGAAGUCUAUUUUAUGUUAGUAAAAAGAUAGGGAAAAAGUGAUUGCAUAAAUUUAAACUAAGUUUAAUUUUUGUGAAUCCAAAGAAGAGUAUUAGUAUAUGGUUGUUUUCAUUUUUGCUGAAUUAGGAGUGUGUAUAGUAUGUAUAUUAUGUACAUUACUUAUGAAUUUCAAUAAAGUUAUGUUAAAAGAAAAGAUAAAAGAAAAAAGAGAGAAACUUGUUGCGACAGAUUUGGGGGUCUUUUCCUCAUUGGAAGGUCAUGUUUUUAAAACACCCCAAAAAAGAACCAGGAUAGACAGUCAGCAAAUAGGAUGAACCUCCUCCUGUGCCUUAGUCUCUCCAGGUGCCUGGAGGUGUCAAACCCAAAUUUAGACUGGACCUCUCCUUUCAGGCCACAUAUAGGAAACACGUGAAGACAGGAGAUUUAGAAGUGAAACAAGCAAGCUAUUGUUAAGUUGGCUGAAAAACCUUCCUUUUCUCCAAAGUAUUCCCACAUUAAUCUGUUUUAUAUUUGUAGCUUUAAAAAAAAAAUGCUGGUGGUAGAGCAGUUUAGUUUUAAUAGUAUAUUAUGACCACUUUUAUGUUUUAUAUUUCAUUUCUGUACAGUGGUACCUUAGUUCCCAAACUUAAUCCAUUCUGGGAAGUCUGUUCCAAAACCAAAGCGUUCUAAAAUCAAGUCGUGCUUUCCCACAGAAAGUAAUGCAAAAUGGAUUAAUCCGUUCCAGACUUUUAAAAACAACCCCUAAAACAGCAAUUUAACAUGAAUUUUACUAUCUAACGAGACCAUUGAUCCAUAAAGUGAAAGCAAUAAUCAAUGUCCUGAACUAUAAAAUAAACAAGACAGUAUUGUAGAUGAUAAAAAUAAAAAUUAAUUUUUUUUCUUAUGUGCACUGAUGAUAGUAUUGUUUGGAUGGGGGGCUUUUAUCCAUUUCUGCAGUCACACAAUCAAUCAGUAGCUGAACUGGGUUCCACGCAGUCGCAAAAACAAGUAGCAAAAACGAAGUCACAAGCCGCAGUCACAAAUCAGUCCCAUAAAAUGAAGAACAAGUCACAGUC